CGGCAUGCCUUACACAUGCAAGUCGAACGGCAGCACGGGAGCAAUCCUGGUGGCGAGUGGCGAACGGGUGAGUAAUAUAUCGGAACGUGCCCAGUCGUGGGGGAUAACGUAGCGAAAGCUACGCUAAUACCGCAUACGAUCUAUGGAUGAAAGCGGGGGAUCGCAAGACCUCGCGCGAUUGGAGCGGCCGAUAUCAGAUUAGGUAGUUGGUGAGGUAAAGGCUCACCAAGCCGACGAUCUGUAGCUGGUCUGAGAGGACGACCAGCCACACUGGGACUGAGACACGGCCCAGACUCCUACGGGAGGCAGCAGUGGGAAUUUGGACAAUGGGCGCAAGCCUGAUCCAGCAAUGCCGCGUGCAGGAUGAAGGCCUUCGGGUUGUAAACUGCUUUUGUACGGAACGAAACGGUGAGCUCUAAUACAGUUUGCUAAUGACGGUACCGUAAGAAUAAGCACCGGCUAACUACGUG
rnacentral:rRNA from 1 species